rnacentral:rRNA from 1 species
CAGUAGCCACGGUAAUACGAAGGGUGCAAGCGUUAAUCGGAAUUACUGGGCGUAAAGCGUGCGUAGGCGGUGAGUUAAGUCUGCUGUGAAAUCCCCGGGCUCAACCUGGGAAUUGCAGUGGAUACUGGCUCGCUAGAGUGUGUCAGAGGAUGGUGGAAUUCCCGGUGUAGCGGUGAAAUGCGUAGAGAUCGGGAGGAACAUCAGUGGCGAAGGCGGCCAUCUGGGACAACACUGACACUGAGGCACGAAAGCGUGGGGAGCAAACAGGAUUAGAUACCCCCGUAGUCCCUGUCUCUAUACA